rnacentral:lncRNA from 1 species
UCAUGAAAAGUGGUUGAGAUGUGAUGGAAAGUCUUUCGGUGGUUGGGGGUCUUUCAAGACUAACAAUUCUUCACCUUUUUCCCUUCACCUUUUUAGAUCUAGCAUUCACUUUAUUUUAACAAGGUAUGAAGGUUGGGAAGAACAUCAAGAAAACUUUAAUAAUCACCAAGAACAAUAAAAAAUAAUUACCAAGAUCCACAAUACAACCACACGGCCAACUCCAAUACAACAAUGUUUUCACACGGCCAAGACUACAAAACCACCAACAACGACCAAGUCUCUUUAGUGUUGCAUUUAAGUUUUUUUUUUUCACUAGAGAUGAAGGUUGUGAAGAACUUCAAGAACAACAACAAAACUCUUUUCAACAACAACAACCAUACCCACAGCCAAGUCAAUUUUCUCAACAACAAUGUCUACCACACGGCCUUACUUGUUCACAAUAACAUCAAUCAUUAAAACUCAAAUCUAGAUCGACUCAAAUUGUUAGUAAAGAUCAAAAUAACACCACAAACAAACAAAAAGUAAAAGACUUCUAUACCUAGACUCAAGAAAAAAUCUCGGCCAAGAACACCACAAGAACACAAUUUUCGGCCAAGAACACAAAAUGGACAGAUUGCGAUUUUUCUAGAAUUUUCAGAUUUCAACUUUUUUUUCAAGUGAUCUAGCCUAGGAUUUGAUCUUGUAGGAACAAUAUCAAGCCAUUCUCUAAUACCAAAUGAUACAAGAAGCAUAAGGAAAAUACGAACCAAACACCAAAUCAGUCCACAAGUUUGAAGAACUGAGGACCUCUUUGGUGACCACUCUUAGAUUCUUGUAUCAUUUGGUGCCUCAAGGAGAGAGGACUUGUGUUUAUUUGUGUUUCAAGACUUACAUCAUCAUGAAUAAUCUAAGUUUAAAAGCCCUAAAAUGUUCUAUUUAUACUAGGUUACAAAUAAAGUACAAAAUAUCCAAAUUGCCCUUUUAAGAGCUAGGCUCCCUUCAAAUGUAUUUAGGGGAUGCCUUGUUGUGUUUUAAGGAUCCUCUUUACACUCCAAGUGUUAUUUAGGGUCAGUUUGAUGUGUUUUAAGUCCUUCACUCGCACACACCAAAUCCCGGGUUCAUUACAUUCUCACAUGCGUCCAUUUUCGUGGUCGUACUUGUAUCAAAUAGAGGUAAUUAGAAUGUUGUACAAUGGUUCAUCAGCUUAUGAUUUUUUAAUUUGUGAAUGAAGGGAGUUGAUCCACAUGUUGGGAAAUCCGAUGAUCGUGCACCCCUUCAAGGAACAAAUAAAUUGGUAGACUUGCUAGCCAAAAAAGGAGCCAGGAAAUAACUUUUGGAAGAUUGCAUAUGCUAGUAGUUCCUUCAGUAUUUGUAAAUGAUGGUUUUUGGACAGAUAUCCUAUGAAUUGCAUAUGAUAAAAAAAGUUUGGUUCUUAACGGUAAUAGUUUAUUUGCCCGGUACAAUAUAAUGAGCAUUAGCUAUCCCAAAGAUGGUAGUGGUUGUUUUUAGCUGUGAAAUUAGAGAAAUAACAUAAAAGAGUUUGAGAUAAA